rnacentral:rRNA from 1 species
CCUACGGGCGGCAGCAGUGAGGAAUAUUGGUCAAUGGACGCAAGUCUGAACCAGCCAAGCCGCGUGCGGGAAGACUGCCCUAUGGGUUGUAAACUUCUUUUAUAAGGGAGUAAACGAAGAUACGUGUAGCUGUCUGACUGUAUCUUAUGAAUAAGUAUCGGCUAACUCCGUGCCAGCAGCCGCGGUAAUACGGAGGAUGCGAGCGUUAUCCGGAUUUAUUGGGUUUAAAGGGUGCGUAGGCGGUUGGAUAAGUUAGUGGUGAAAGCCUGAGGCUCAACCCUGGAAUUGCCAUUGAUACUGUAAGGCUCGAGUUCAGGCGAGGUAGGCGGAAUGUGUGGUGUAGCGGUGAAAUGCUUAGAUAUCACAAAGAACACCGAUAGCGAAGGCAGCUUACCAAACUGCUACUGACGUUGAGGCACGAAAGCGUGGGGAGCAAACAGGAUUAGAUACCCCAGUAGUC